AUGAAUUGACACAGUUUCUGAGCUCAAAAAUAACUUGAAGAAACUAACAAGAAAAUGCUGAGGUCUUUCUAGCAUAGGUAUCAACUUCAAGUUUAACGAAAUCUUUAUCGUUCUGCUUAAAUAAUCAAAAACCCCACAACGGCGAAAAAUAAUUCUAUCUUCUCUGUAAAAAGGAUGAAGAGGCUCUCCCUGAAAAUAGGGUUGAAACAGGCUACUCCUCAUCUGAGUAGUUGAACUUGACGGAGUGUGAUUGCAAGUCAAUUAUCCCUCCUCUGUAACUGCCUCGCUUCUUUUUGGUUUUCUCAUGUCGGAAAUCCCUUCCUUUCACCUGGCCCAAAACCUCCUGUGCCUUUGCACCAUAGCCAAUGUCUG
rnacentral:misc_RNA from 1 species